UCUCAAUAUAGGCUCAAACCAAGCAGGAAUUGCAGUAACAAGAUGCAUGCAAUUGCAACAAUACAAACCUAAUCUUUUUCACCCAGUUUCAUUGCCUCAAAUAGUCAAAUUGCAGUUUAAAUUCACAGGCAUCUAUGUUAUGGAUACAAAUGUGGAAAGAAUAACACGAUCAUGCCUGGUUGUGAAAUCCUUUGUAUUAUUUUCAAAGCACAAUCAAAAUGAUUUGUGUGCAGGAACCUCAGCUGAAGUCAUCAGCUGAAUUUUCAGUGGAGCAACUCAGGCAGCUUCUCAACUGCUCAAACAUUUUGAGGAGGAUUUUCUUGCAACUUGAUACUGUUGAAAACUAUAUCCUGCAAACUUCGAUACAGGAUGCUAAAUUAAAGUCAUUUCCUUACGAUCCAUAAGUAGAACUUAACUCCAGUGGCUGAGACCACCAAGCUAAAUACCUACAUAUCACCUCUUCGAUUGCCGAGCAACCUAUUAGCAACAGACUCAGAUUUCUAAAGAAUUCUAUUACCAACAUCAUUGUUAUGCUCUUUUUAACUCAUAUAUGCCUCUUUUCUUACUGUUUGUUCCUAAAACGCACUCAGCUUUCAAAUAUAUCUGUCAUGGUUAUAGCUGCACCUUGGCUAUCUGCUGACUUGGUUACUAAGUAAAUGAAAUAAAACUCCCAGUUGUAUGGCUGAAAAUUGUCAUUGGCACUGGCAGCAAAAUCAAGCAGUCAUUAAUCCACAGAUAAAAACAUCAUACAAUAUUUUCAGUUGGCCUUCCAAAGUCACAACUUCCAGAAUGCCUAUUUAAUGUAAUAAUGGCUGCAAUAUCUCUUUGGCCCAUGAAGAUAGAGGUGCACAGAACAUAACAGGCAGACCAGUAACUGGAUGUUCAAAAGACAAGCUCUCUGCAUGCAAUCCAUGGUCAUCAUAUAUUCUCUCUUUCCAUUCAUAUAAACCCUCAUAUUUCACAUCCCCUCUUGUAGACAUUCCAAGAUACUGGCAGCGCAACUGGAUUGAUGUGUUCUCCACUCUGAGGAAAUGCCCAUACCAAAAUCUCAUCCUUCUUCGUAUCAGCAUAUUUCACAGCCUUUUCUUCAACUACUAUAAUAUUUUCAUCUUUCUCAAAUUCAGACAACUCUUUGAAGCUCCCUUGUCCAUUUACUGAUAAUAGUUACUAUGAAUCCACCUGGUAGUGUCCGACCCACAUCUAUUGCAGCAUACGCAUGCCAGACAAUGAUCAGAUUUUAUGGUGAUCCUUCCCCAUUUUGGAGCUGAACCAACACAGAGAGCAAUGUAAGUUUUCUUAAUCUCGUGAUCAGUAAAAUGCCUUUACACACUUAGAAGCCACUUUGCGUGACUUGGUUAUAACUCUAACACUUGUAUCAAGUCAGUUGGCAAGAUGGAGCUCUGGCAGGGUGCCCUUGGUCCCUGAAGUUGAAAAGUCAAAACUCAGUUUAAUAUCCACAAACAAAAAGAAAUACACAGUUAUCAAUAGAAGAACCUGGCUAUAGCAAUUAUUUGGUGAGCCAAUUGAUAGACCUGGCCACAGAUUGGCUCCAGGCAUACAAUGAGUUAAUCUAACCUAAAUUACUUCCAAUCCUGUUCAUCUAGUCAAACAAAUGCAUUCUAUGUGCUCUCCCACCAAACCAUAAUACUUAUCUCUCUCGUACAAAAGAUCCUUGCAUACACAAACAUCCAUGCUCAAAACACAAUAAUUUAUCUAUGCUAAUAUUUUACAGUUUGCCAUUAAUUGAAUUCAGAGAGAGGUUCAAAUACAACUCACUAGGAAAUACAUAACUUAUCGGAAAGGUUAGCAAAAUUAGUAGAAGAAAUUCUAUUCUUGCCAUAAAAUUGCUUCUCUGGUAAAUGAUUAAACUUUAAUGGAAAGCAAAUUUCACAAAAUCCCAAGUGAUCAAAUUAGCUAUACAUGAUAUCUGUUAGGAUCUACUGCAAGAAAAACUUGUAUACCACAUCGAAAGUAUGGGUUUUCAAUGUGGGGUAUGUAUGAACUUGGGCUCUCCCACCUCAA
rnacentral:misc_RNA from 1 species